GAUGAACGCUGGCGGCGUGCCUAAUACAUGCGAGUCGAGCGAACAGAUGAGGAGCUUGCUCCUCUGACGUUAGCGGCGGACGGGCGAGUAACACGUGGAUAACCUACCUAUAAGACUGGGAUAACUUCGGGAAACCGGAGCUAAUACCGGAUAAUAUAUUGAACCGCAUGGUUCAAUAGUGAAAGACGGUUUUGCUGUCACUUAUAGAUGGAUCCGCGCCUCAUUAGCUAGUUGGUAAGUUAACGGCUUACCAAGGCAACGAUACGUAGCCGACCUGAGAGGGUGAUCGGCCACGCUGGUAGUGAGACACGGGGAAGACUCCUACCGUAGGCAGCAGUAGGGAGUCUUCCGCAAGGGACGAAAGCCUGACGGAGCGCCGCCGAGUGAGUGAUGAAGGUCUUCGGAUCGUAAAACUCUGUUAUUAGGGAAGAACAUAUGUGUAAGUAACUAUGCACGUCUUGACGGUACCUAAUCAGAAAGCCACGGCUAACUACGUG
rnacentral:rRNA from 1 species